rnacentral:pre_miRNA from 1 species
AGGAGGAACAACCUCAGUGGCGGCGGCAGCUCUGCAGCCCUGGAGUCAGCCCCCGCAGUAGCUCCAGAGCUCUCCGUCAGCAGGGCCUGGAGGCUCCGGGGCGGG